rnacentral:lncRNA from 10 species
CGGGAGGUAAAGGUUGCGGUGAGCCAAAAUCGCGCCACUGCACUCCAGCCUGGGCAACGGAGCGAGACUCUGCCUCAAAAACAAAACAAAACAAAACAAAACAAACAAACGAAAAAGAAAGGUGCACACAGCUUCCAGAGCGGACACAGGGCAUCAGGGUGAGAAGGCACAGGGCAACGAUCAGGCGUUGAUGUGUCCCCUGGCAGCUGGGAUGCAGGCCCCCCACGGCCUGCCAUGUUCUCACCAGGACGCCAAAGAGGGGACCCACGCAGAGCCCGGGGAGCCCGACUGAAAUGGAAACUUCAAUACAAGAGACAGGUUCAAGUGACAAAGCUGGGCAGGCUGAGGCCACCAAAGGGUUUCCUGGGUCCCUGUUCCUGCCACACACCUUGAAUCCUCAAUGCCAAGGCAACUGCAAACCCGAGGGACCCCAGGGGGGACACUAGGUCUGGACAUGAAGGUUUGGCAGCAAACUGUCAGGACCCCCGGAGAGAACCCUGACUCCUGUGCCAACCCAACUGUGUCUGGCUCAACGCUCGACGCUCAAACACAGCAAACGGCAAGAAGGCAAGUCCAGGAUAUACGUUUUGGCAAAAAUGGCAGCCGUGGGGGUGGAGGUGGAGGAGGACAUGCACGGAGGGCUUAAACAGGGCUGUGUUUUUUUUUUUUUCUUUUAGAUGGAGUCUCACUCUGUCACCCAGGUUGGAGUGCAGUGGCGGAUCUCGGCUCACUGCAAACUCCACCCCCUGGGUUCAAGCAAUUCUCUGCCUCAGCCUCCUGAGUAGCUGAGAUUACAGGCGCCCGCCACCGCACCCGGCUAAUUUUUGUAUUUUUAGUAGAGACGGGGUUUCACUAUCUUGGCCAGGCUGGUCUUGAACUCCUGACCUUGUGAUCCACGUGUCUCGGCCUCCCAAAGUGCUGGGAUGACAGACGUGAGCCACCGCACUGGCCGGGGCUGUGUUUUCAUCUGGAGGUUUGCACGGGGCCGGGGCAUUGUAAGGCUAAGCAUGGGAAUUUCAGUCUCUCCCCCAGAACCUUCUGGAGAGACACCACUGCAGCUACCACCGCUGCAGCUACCAGGCACCAGCUGACCAGGAGGGAGGAAACACAAGGCUGCUGUGUCUGGGGUCAGCCAGCAGGCCGGGGGUGAGGGCGGGGGUGACAGGGGAGCCAGCACACUUGUUGUGCACAAAGUUCCUUGUGACAGUGAGUUCGUCUUGGCCUCUGUCCCAAGAUGAGGUUUUGAUGACACGCAUGGAAUUUCUAACAAUGAAAUGGAGUGUGUGGUUUUGCUCACGCUUACAUCCCCUUUUCUUGUCUAUCCAAAUUCCAUUACGCCUUUUCUUGCUAAUGCAGAAACACGGCCAAAUCCUGGGCUGCCCCAGGAAGUGCCGAGGCCUCUUUCCGCUCUCAGUGGAAAAGGGAAAUGUGGCUGCCUUGGGUCUGGGGUGCCCUGAUUCUCAGAAUCCCUGUGGGAUGGGGAAAGAGUGUUUGGGUUGAGACUGGCUCACAGGAAGUGGGUAGAAUGCAGCAGAAGGAGCGGCUGGGAGGCACUCUCUCAUCCAGCCCCCGUGGCGACCCUCCUUGCUGGCUUAUUUUGAGACGGAGUCUUGCUCUGUCGCCGAGGCUGGAGUGCAGUGGCGCAAUCUCGGCUCACUGCAACCUCCGCCUCCCGGGUUCAAGCGAUUCUCCUGCCUCAGCCUCCUGAGUAGCUGGUAGCUGGGAUUACAGGCAUCCAACACCAAGCCCGGCUAAUUUUUUUAUUUUUUGGUAGAGUCGCGGUUUCACCAUGUUGUUCAGGCUGGCCUUGAACUCCUGACCUCAAGUGAUCUCCGCCCACCUCAGCCUCCCAAAGUGCUGCGAUUACAGGCAGGAGCCACCGCUCCCGGCCACCUCUGCUCACCUCCUCACCAAGCCCCAGCUUCUGUGACUGUCCCCCAGGGAGAGUGACCAUGGCCCUGCUGGGCUCUGAGGGGCUUGUGCAGAUGAGCAGGUGGCCUACACAGCCUGAGGGACCACCAGCUGCUCUGUGGCAAGUCUCGUGACUCCAAUCCCGCUCUGCCUCUGGCCAGCCCCCGGGCCUUGCCACAUCUUUUGGUUGCCGAGCCUCAGUUUCCCCACCUAUAAAAUGGGGACAAUGAGCCCUGCUCCCCAGGGAUCCUAGGAGAACUAAAGGAAUUGGAGCAGUGGACCUGGCCUGCAGGGGGCACGGGAGAGGUAUCUGCUGAGUCGCUGAGUAGGGGGAGCUGAGGAUCAGGGAGGCGUCAGUGGUGGGGAUGGCCCGGCUGCUGGGAACAGGGCCAGGGGACUUAGCCAGGGCCCGACGAGAGCUGCCUGAUGUCAUUGCUGGAGCCUCUUGUCAUCCCUCCCAGCAGAUGCUGCAGCAUAGGGACCUAAUCCCCACGGCACGUGGCCACAUGGCUGGCAGCUUGAGCUUGCGGCCUGGAGACACCUGAGCCUUGCCCAGGCAGCUCCGUGCCACCUGCCGUCCAGCCACGCUGCCAUCAGCCAGCACUUGUGUGUCCCAGAGGACGGGGCUCAGGGCAGGCUCCAGGGACCUCACCCUGGCCGUUUGACCUCCAGCAAAGGAGGUCUGGUCUCCCGGUCAGAAAACAGGAGAGAGGGCAGGGACUUCUCCAUGGAGAAUAUAUUCAUGGAGAAGGACGUAAAAGGAUCCAGACCAGACACCACGGGCACAUGCGACCCCUCGGCCAUCGGCCAGGUUUUAAAUCAUCACUGUCUUCGUCGUCAUCCUGAGUGUCAUUUGUGUGGGGGCCGGGACUAGGGUGAGGCCAUGCGGCACUCACCUUGGGGGCAAAAUCUAGGGAACGCCAAAAAGCCCUGCCGUGCUGGUAAAUUAUAUUUUCAUACAAUCUUUUAUUAUUUAUAUAAAAAUAUAUUUAUAUGUAUUUAUUAAUAUAUAUUUAUCUAUUAUCUAUAAUAUAUAAAUAUGCAUUUAUAAAUAUAUAAACAAAUAUAUAUUUAUAAAUAUAUAAAAACACAUAUACAUAUUUAUAAAUAAAAUAUAUAUUUAAAAAAUAUAUAUAUAUACACACACAUAUUUUGAGACAGAGUCUCGCUCUGGCCCCCAGGCUGGAGU